UUUGCAGGCAUGAAUGCCAGCUUUUGGAAGUAGCCACAAAAGUGUAAGUUAACCGCGACCAGGAGGCAAAAAGGGAAGCUGAUCGGAGACUUAGGAAGAUCAUAAGUGAUUUGCUGGCGGCAGCACUCACGGAGAGGAGAUUGCAGGAAUUGUGCCUUGGAUCCAUCACAGUUGGUUAAAACCAGAAAUCCAGGACAAGUGGACCAGCCAGCAGAACCCAGACCAUCCAAGCCGGCUGAUCCUGCGACGGGAGCCAGUUGCCACUGAGGACAACAGCCCUGCUCUGGUCAGUCCGGAAGCUGACCAGUCUACACAUGGCUGAAGCUUGAGGAGGCAACAGCCCUGCUCUAGUCACCCCAGAAGCUGACUAGUCUACGCAUGGCUGAAGCUGGAGUAAAGUAAUGUGGUUGGAAAUCUUAAGUCCAAUAGCCUUCCUGAUAAUACUAAUUGUUUUACUAUUUAUUCUGUCGCUUUGCUCAGCCUCCUCCCCCGGGUAAAGACUCCUUUUGUCCCUGCUGGGUAUAAAGAUGCUACUCUUUACUUUGUUCCUACUCCUCCCCAUUAGGGCACUCCCUUUACCUGUGUCUGGGGAUGGGCCCAUAGAAAGGUGCCCCCACUGCACUCACACCACGUAGUCGGAGAGCACAGUAACUAGAACCCUGUUAUAUCACACUUACUAUGAAUGUACAGGGACCCACCAAGGUACCUGUAUUCACAAUCAGAUGACCUACUCAGUCUGUGACCUGGGAAACGACCAGCCUUAUAUAUGUUAUGACCCUAAGUCCUCACCUUAUGAGUCCAUUUGGUUUAAAGUCUAUGUCAGGCUAAAAGAAGAGAACUUCCUAACCCUAACCAAAAAGAUCCCUCCCUCCUACAAGGGGCCUAUUUCCUCGUAUUUUGAUGCCUGCCAAGCUGCAUACGUCAGCAACUCUUAUCCUGUAGUCUCUUGUGACAGCCUGUCAUGGGAAAGAUACUAUAGUAACUGUCACAAGUAUAUAUGGACACCAAGGAGAGGAACCUCUCAAGAGAAGACCCCUCUUUGCUCCCCCAGGUCUCCAGAAAUAGACUGUUAGGCCUGUACAACAUGGUCCACUGACCCUGUGGAAAGUCACGAAUGAACACAGGGGACAGUCAGGCUUACCAAAAUGCCAGCGAAACCAUAAUAUAAGAUAAGAACCUGCAGUCCUUUAAAUUUUACCAUCCUGGAGCCAAAUCUGCCCAUAUGGACUACAG
rnacentral:lncRNA from 1 species